rnacentral:rRNA from 1 species
CCUACGGGCGGCAGCAGUGGGGAAUAUUGCACAAUGGGGGAAACCCUGAUGCAGCGACGCCGCGUGAGUGAAGAAGGAAUUAGGGAGGGAAAGCUGUAUCAGCAGGGAAGAAAAUGACGGUACCUGAGUAAGAAGCCACGGAGAACGACGUGCCCGCAGCCGCGGUAAUACGUAGGUGGCAAUCGUUAGCCGGAUUGAUUGGGUGUAAAGGGGGUGUAGGCGGGAGCGCCAGUCCGAUGGUAAAACUAAGGGCUCCACCCUGAGCCUGCAUUUGAAACGGUGUUUCUUGAGUGCUGGAGAGGCAAUCGGAAUUCCGUUUGUAGCGGUGACCUGCGUAGAUAUCCGGAGGAACCCCAGUGGC